rnacentral:rRNA from 1 species
GACGAACGCUGGCGGCGUGCCUAAUACAUGCAAGUAGAACGCUGAAGGAGGAGCUUGCUUCUCUGGAUGAGUUGCGAACGGGUGAGUAACGCGUAGGUAACCUGCCUGGUAGCGGGGGAUAACUAUUGGAAACGAUAGCUAAUACCGCAUAAGAGUAGAUGUUGCAUGACAUUUGCUUAAAAGGUGCAAUUGCAUCACUACCAGAUGGACCUGCGUUGUAUUAGCUAGUUGGUGAGGUAACGGCUCACCAAGGCGACGAUACAUAGCCGACCUGAGAGGGUGAUCGGCCACACUGGGACUGAGACACGGCCCAGACACCUACGGGAGGCAGCAGUAGGGAGUCUUCGGCGAUGGACGGAAGUCUGACCGAGCAAAGCCGCGUGAGUGAAGAAGGUUUUCGGAUCGUAAGGAUCUGUUGUAAGAGAAGAACGAGUGUGAGAGUGGAAAGUUCACACUGUGACGGUAGCUUACCAGAAAGGGACGGCUAACUACGUG